CCACUAACGUUGAAAAGUUAGGGGAUGAGCUGUGGAUAGGGGUGAAAGGCUAAACAAACUUGGAAAUAGCUGGUUCUCUCCGAAAACUAUUUAGGUAGUGCCUCGUGUCUCACCUUCGGGGGUAGAGCACUGUCAUGGUUGGGGGGUCUAUUGCAGAUUACCCCGCCAUAGCAAACUCCGAAUACCGAAGAGUGCAAUCACGGGAGACAGACAUCGGGUGCUAACGUCCGGUGUCAAGAGGGAAACAACCCAGACCGCCAGCUAAGGUCCCCAAAUAUAGCUAAGUGGGAAACGAAGUGGGAAGGCUAAAACAGUCAGGAGGUUGGCUUAGAAGCAGCCACCCUUUAAAGAAAGCGUAAUAGCUCACUGAUCGAGUCGUCCUGCGCGGAAGAUGUAACGGGGCUAAGCUAUAUACCGAAGCUGCGGAUGCACAUUUAUGUGCAUGGUAGGAGAGCGUUCCGUAAGCCUGCGAAGGUGCAUUGUAAAGUGUGCUGGAGGUAUCGGAAGUGCGAAUGCUGACAUGAGUAGCGAUAAAGGGGGUGAAAGGCCCCCUCGCCGUAAGCCCAAGGUUUCCUACGCAACGUUCAUCGGCGUAGGGUGAGUCGGCCCCUAAGGCGAGGCAGAAAUGCGUAGCUGAUGGGAAGCAGGUCAAUAUUCCUGCACCAUUGUUAAAUGCGAUGGGGGGACGGAUCGCGGAAGGUUGUCCGGGUGUUGGAAGUCCCGGUCGCUGCAUUGGAGAAGGCGCUUAGGCAAAUCCGGGCGCGGAAUUCAAGGGUGUGGCGCGAGCUUCUUCGGAAGCGAAGCAAUCGGAAGUGGUUCCAAGAAAAGCCUCUAAGCUUCAGUUUAACAGUGACCGUACCGCAAACCGACACAGGUGGGCGAGAUGAGUAUUCUAAGGCGCUUGAGAGAACUCGGGAGAAGGAACUCGGCAAAUUGGUACCGUAACUUCGGGAUAAGGUACGCCCCUGUAGCUUGACUGGCCUGCGCCAGAAGGGUGAAGGGGUUGCAAUAAACUGGUGGCUGCGACUGUUUAAUAAAAACACAGCACUCUGCAAACACGAAAGUGGACGUAUAGGGUGUGACGCCUGCCCGGUGCCGGAAGAUUAAAUGAUGGGGUGCAAGCUCUUGAUUGAAGUCCCGGUAAACGGCGGCCGUAACUAUAACGGUCCUAAGGUAGCGAAAUUCCUUGUCGGGUAAGUUCCGACCUGCACGAAUGGCGUAACGAUGGCCACACUGUCUCCUCCCGAGACUCAGCGAAGUUGAAGUGUUUGUGAUGAUGCAAUCUCCCCGCGGCUAGACGGAAAGACCCCAUGAACCUUUACUGUAGCUUUGCAUUGGACUUUGAACCGAUCUGUGUAGGAUAGGU
rnacentral:rRNA from 1 species